AAAUUCAGUUUUUUCGUCCCUCGCGAAGAAACAUAAACAGUAUUUGUGAAAUUUGGAUUAGAAACUAUUAUUUUAUUAGUUUAUUUUGUUGUGUUUAAGUGUUGUGUAUUUGUACCUACUGGAUAAUAUUUUCCAACAUAUUUAAUUAAGCAAAAAGCAUCUGUUUUACAGGUGUGACUGCUAAGUGGUCGUACUCGCCACUUUAACCAAGCAUUGGUGGGACCUUCAGAGAUCAUAAUGCGAAUUUCUUCAUACCAUGUAAAUCUAUAUACAUGUAUUAAUAAAUGCGUUUGCUUUA